ACACUAACUAAAUUAUUUUUAUACAUUAUAAUCUCUUUCUCUUCGGCCACAGUUUUUUUUUCUCUCUCUAAAAAAAAAACCCCACAUUUCUCUCACUCGUCUAGGUCGUAAAAUUUACGAAGAUCGGAGAAUUGACGUGUUGCCUUUGGAAUUGAGUUAAGGAAGGUAGGGUAGCUGACGAUUUAACGCGAUCGAGGGCUUUGCUUUUUGUGAAUUUGGGAUUUCUAGGGUUGUUUGGGGGUUGGAGAAAAUUGGGGAUUUUUCUAGGGUUUUGGUGUAAUAGAUUGAUAUUGUUAUCAAUUGGCUGGGGAUUGGAUAAUUGAUGUUUGAGGCUGGACUGGCUAGAAAAGGGGUUGAAAUAAUUGGAGAAGAUGCCAGUCGAUUUGUAUUAUGCAUGGGAAGGGACAAAGGGGAAGUGAACUUUGUCGACGCUUGAUUGGUGGUCAGCACAUGCCGGUUACGACCACGACGACUGUAGCCGUCGGUGAUUCUUCUGUUGUUUCUACUAUUACAGCUGAUUCGUUCUGCAAGGGUGGUCGCAAAGUUAGUGUGGGUGAUUGUGCUUUGUUCAAACCAUCUCACGAUUCCCCUCCCUUCAUUGGAAUAAUCCGAAGGCUAAAGUUGAGUGAAGACAAUAACCUACAGUUAGGUGUUAAUUGGCUUUAUCGACCUGCUGAGCUUAAGCUUUGCAAGGGCAUCCUUCCGGAAGUCGCACCCAACGAAAUCUUUUAUUCCUUUCAUAGGGAUGAGACACCUGCUGCAUCACUACUGCAUCCGUGUAAAGUUGCAUUCCUUUCUAAAGGAGCUGAACUUCCAACAGGGAUAUCCUCAUUUAUCUGCCGGCGUGUUUAUGAUAUUUCAAACGAGUGUUUAUGGUGGUUAACUGAUCAAGAUUACAUCAAAGAGUUACAAGAAGAAGUAGGUCAAUUAUUAAAUAAGACGCGAGUAGAAAUGCAUGCAACAGUGCAACCGGGUGGUCGUUCUCCGAAACCAAUGAAUGGUUCCAUGUCAACAUCGCAAUUGAAACCAGGUUCAGAUAAUGUGCAGAGCAGUGUAACUUCUUUUCCUACACAUGUUAAGGGAAAGAAAAGGGAGCGGGGAGAUCAGGGCCCUGAGUCAAUUAAACGUGAACGUUCAAUCAAAACAGAAGAUAUAGAUUCUAGUCAAAUCAAAGCUGAAAGCAUAUUAAAAUCUGAAAUUUCUAAGAUUACGGACAAAGGAGGGCUUCUGAACUCUGAAGGGGUUGAGAAGCUAGUUCACCUCAUGCAGCCAGAUAGAAAUGAGAAGAAAAUGGAUUUGAUCAGUCGUUCAAUGCUUGCAAGUGUUGUAGCUGCAACUGAAAAUUUUGACUGUCUUACUAGGUUUGUACAGUUAAGGGGUCUUCCUGUGUUAGAUGAGUGGCUUCAAGAUGUUCAUAAGGGGCGGAUUGGUGAAUCUAGCAACACAAAAGAUGGUGACAAAUCAGUUGAGGAAUUUCUCUUUGUUUUGCUUCGUGCACUUGAUAAGCUUCCUGUGAAUCUUCAAGCACUGCAGAUGUGUCAUAUUGGCAGGUCUGUCAAUCACUUGCGGCAGCAUAAAAACACAGAAAUACAGAGGAAGGCACGGAGUUUAGUUGAUACGUGGAAGAAACGGGUUGAAGCAGAGAUGAACAUUAUUGAUGCCAAGUCCGGUUCAAAUCAGGCUGCUACGUGGCCUUCUAAAUCAAGGUUGCCCGAGGCUUCACAUAGUAUUUCCAAAAAUCCUGGUGGUUCAAAUGAUGUGACAAAGAGUGCAGUUGCACAACUUUCUGCAUCUAGAAUGGCCUCAAUAAAGACUUCACAAGGGGAGACUACUGUAAAGUCCGCAUCCUUGUCCCCAGGCUCAACCAAACCAGCAUCAUCACCUGCAUCUGGAAAAGAGGGUCAGCACAGAGUCUCGGUUGGUGGGUCUUGUGAUGUCCCUUCAGCUAGGGAAGAUAAGAGCAGCAGUUCUAGCCAGUCUCACAACCACAGUCAGUCGAUCUCGGGGAAAGAGGAUGGAAGGAGUUCAACUGCAGUGUCAAUGAACAGCAUCAAGAUCUCUACUGGUGGUUCUCGUCACAGGAAGUCAAAUAAUGGAUAUCCUGGAUCAUCAAUAUCUGGAAGCCAAAAGGAGAGUCCUGCAGGCAGAAGUUCACACAGGAAUCCUACUUCAGAAAAAUUGCUGCAAUCUGCAGUGAGUGGUGAGAAAAUUAUGGAUGUGCCAGUUCUCGAGGGGAGUGGCCACAAAUUGAAAGUUAAGAUGUCUAACAGGGGACGCAGUCCUGCGCAGAGUGCCAGUGGAGGUUCCUAUGAGGACCCUACGAACAUGAGCAGCCGUGCUUCUUCUCCUGUGCUUUCUGAGAAGAGUGAUCAAUUUGACCGAACUUUAAAGGAGAAGACUGAUGCAGAUCGAUCAAAUUUGGAGGCAAAUGCUGAAUCAUGGCAGAGUAAUGAUUUCAAAGAUAUACUAACUGGUUCUGAUGAUGGAGAUGGAUCACCAGCUGCUGUUACAGAGGAGGAGCGAAGCAAGAUUGUUGAUGACAGCAGGAGAUCAGCAGAAGUUAGAGCUGCUUGUACAUCAGGGACUGAAGCCAAGUCCGGAAAGCUUCACGAAGCUUCUUACAGCCCCAUGAAUGCUUUGAUUGAGAGCUGUGUAAAAUAUUCUGAAUCGAACGUUCCUAUGUUAUUGGGUGAUGCUAUUGGUAUGAAUCUCCUUGCCAGUGUGGCUGCUGAAGAAAUGUCCAAGUCUAACAUGGUAUCACCUUCCGUUUCCCCGCAUAGAAACACCCCUGCUGCUGAAGAGGCUUGCACAGGCGACGACGCUAAGUCAAAGUCACCUCCUGGUGAUAUCACUGCUGGUGACCGUAAAAAUGAUGAUGGUGAUGGUAAUGGAGAGGAACUCAUUGUUGCUAGUGCUUCAUGGUCCGAGGAUAAACUGCUUUCAUCCAUGGGUGCUGCAAUUGAGUUACCUGGAGAUAGAAAGGCCUCCGUUUCACCUUCUCAAGAGACAAUGGCAGGUGGAUGUAAACAGUUCAACUCUCCCUGCUUUGAUUCACAGACGGCUGGAGAAAAGUUAGAGAUCACUGAGAAGUCAGUUGAGGUGGAAAAGUAUGCUUCUUCACCUCGUACUGUAUCUGAGAAGGCAAUUGAUGGUGAAGCAAGCAAGCAAUUCCAUGAGGAAACUCUGGUGUCCCGUGAGGUCAAAGUUGAAGGUCCUUUAGAUGCUAAUUUAGGUGGAGAUGGUGCUUCAGUAUUAGGAGACAAGGUCGCUAGUACAGUUGCAAGCUUUGAAGACCAGAAACCAUCAGUUGAAGUCUGCACUUAUAAGUUUGAAAGUGAGAACAAAAAUGGCAUGAACAGGGUGUUGAACAUUGCUAGUGCUGAGACGAAACCAUCUUCGGUGGUGGUAAAUUCUGAAAAGAUGGAGGGAAGUGACAAGGAAGAGCGCUUAGCAAAUAUUGAAGCUUCAGUUGAGGAUAAAGCCCGUGUUGGAACUGACAUAGUUACAAGAAAUCAGAAGGGUGAAGCUAGUGUUGAAAGGAAGAACGUUGUUCCUGUGCAGAACUCUGGUUUGUUACUCAAUCAGAAAGAUAGACCUGGAUUUUCAAAUGCAGAAGUGCAGAAACAUGGGGAAUCUAGAGAAUUGAACUUUUCUGCUGGUGAAGCAGAUAAAACAAAGGACUGUGGAUCUGCCAAUGCAAAGAUUUCUUUUGUCUCUACUGCUGCUCCAGAGUCAGCUUCAAAGGUGAAGUUUGACUUAAAUGAAGGUUUUUUUUCUGAUGAGGGGAAAUACGGGGAUCCAAUCAACCUUACAGGCCCUGGAUGUUUAUCAAAUGUCCAUAUUAUGAACCCAUUGCCUUUUGCUGUAUCCUCAGUUUCCUGUAGUCUCCCUGCCUCCAUUACUGUAGCCGCCGCCGCCAAAGGUCCGUUUGUUCCACCUGAGGAGCUAUUGAGGGUCAAAGGUGAGUUUGGGUGGAAAGGCUCUGCUGCCACAAGUGCAUUUCGCCCAGCUGAGCCCAGAAAAUCACUUGAUAUGCCGUUAAGUUCAGCAACCAUCUCUCGUGCUGAAGCUUCUACCGGCAAGCACAGUCGCCCUCAAUUAGAUAUCGACCUGAAUGUACCAGAUGAAAGAACCUUUGACGACAUAAAUGGUCAAGAUUCUGCUCUAGAGUUGAUCUCUCCUUUGGGCCAUAGUGCUAGUCGUGCUUCAUUGAAGAAUGACGUGAUUGAUUCUCCUGCUGUUCGUUGUUCUGGAGGACUUGAUCUUGAUUUAAAUAGACUUGAUGAACCUGGUGAUGCAGGACAGUGCUCUGUGAGUAGCAGUUGUAGAUUGGACGGUGCUGUUUUUCCUUCCAAAGCGUCAACCGUUGGCUUGCCAACUGGGGAUGUGAGGAGGGACUUUGAUUUAAAUAAUGGGCCCGGUGUUGAUGAGUCCAACGCGGAACAGUCUCUAUUCCAUGAUAAUCAUCAGGGGAGCAUGCGUUCUCAACUGCCUGCUUCUAACCUCAGACUGAACAAUCCGGAAAUGGGGAACCUCUCUUCGUGGUUUACCCCUGGAAGUACUUAUUCUACUGUGACACUUCCAUCAAUUUUGCCUGAUCGUGUGGAGCAGACGCCAUUCCCAAUAGUCACACCUGGUGCACAGCGAAUCUUGGGUCCUGCUGGUUCUCCUUUCACACCAGAUGUUUACCGGAGCUCGGUAUUGUCAUCUUCUCCUGCUGUGCCCUUUCAAUCCUCCCCUUUCCAGUAUCCUGUAUUUCCUUUUGGAACAAGUUUCGCACUUCCUUCUGCAUCAUUCUCAGUUGGAUCAACUUCUUUCGUUGAUCCUUCCUCUGGUGGAAGGAUUUAUACGCCAUCUGUAAAUUCACCGUUAUUGGGUCCUGUUGGCUCUGUGUCAUCCCAAUAUCCGAGGCCAUAUGUCGUCGGCCUUCCCGACAGCAAUAGCAAUGGUACCAUGGACCACAACAGAAAAUGGGGCAGGCAGGGUCUGGAUCUUAAUGCAGGCCCUGGAGUGGUGGACAUGGAAGGGAGAGAGGAGUCUGUAUCUUUGACGUCAAGGCAACUCUCUGUUGCUGGUUCUCAAGCAUUAGCAGAGGAGCAUGGUAGGAUGUAUGCUGUAUCUGGUGGUGUCCUGAAGAGGAAGGAGCCUGAGGGAGGAUGGGACAGUGAGAGCUUCAGGUUCAAGCAGUCGUGGCACUAAGAUCAGGAAAAGCUGCAAUCUGGUGAUUUUGAAAGGGAAGCGCCAGGACAUCAUGCAUUAAAUUGCGUACCUCAAACUCUAGUGGUGGAUGGACUUUGGCUAACUCCCCAGACUCUCAGCUUCUGGUAUGUUUCUACAGGGGUGGGUGGUAAGUGAGCAAAGGUGAUGUGUUCAGAGUCUCCGACCUCCACCUCUUCAGUCUAGUAGGGAUUUCCAUGGUUUGCAAGCACUUUGGUCAGCUAUAUUCUCUGGGUGGAUGCAGACGAUGAGUUUUCCCUCUGUAGAUAUUUAACUGUUGGAAAGCUUGAAAAUCUUUGAUGCCCAGGACGGGGUGAAAUCAGUGAUAUCCUUGUCCAAAUUUAUUGACAUUGGAGGUCCGGGUUCCAGACUGAAUCAAAUGGAAAGCUUUGUUUGUGCUUGUGCUUUGCUGUUAAUCAUCUUUCGUCGAUCCCAGUGUUCUUGGCAUUUCCGUGUCCUCCUUUUGCUCAUUACAUAUGUAUACAGGGGUUGGCACCAAAUUUUGGUACUAAUGCUUUCAACAGGCAUGUUUUAGUUGUUGUGGCUGCCAUUGUACUAUAAAUUGAUUCUAACUUUAGAUGUAGUCUCAUUCACAGAUGAUAGAACUCUUGUUAAAGAUGAUGUUUUCAUUGGUGGUGGUGAGAUGUGCUUGUUUACUCUCAAGCUAUUAUUCUGAACCAACAACUGUCCUUGAAAACAAGGAAAAAACUUUUUUCUGACUUGAAAUUAAACGGUGGAGCUUUGGGCAUAGUGUAUGGCUGAUCUUAUCA